rnacentral:rRNA from 1 species
UACGGAGGGUGCAAGCGUUAAUCGGAAUUACUGGGCGUAAAGCGUGCGUAGGCGGUUCGUUAAGUCUGUUGUGAAAGCCCCGGGCUCAACCUGGGAACUGCAUUUGUGACUGCAUAGCUAGAGUACGGUAGAGGGGGAUGGAAUUCCGCGUGUAGCAGUGAAAUGCGUAGAUAUGCGGAGGAACACCGAUGGCGAAGGCAAUCCCCUGGACCUGUACUGACGCUCAUGCACGAAAGCGUGGGGAGCAAACAGG